CAGGGAAUAGUUUAUUAAAAAUAUUAGUUUUGGGAAUUAAUGAAAAAGUUAUUCUUUUUCUCUGA
rnacentral:tRNA from 1 species